rnacentral:rRNA from 1 species
UACGUAGGGAGCAAGCGUUGUCCGGAAUCAUUGGGCGUAAAGCGCGCGUAGGUGGCCUCAUAAGUCCGUUGUGAAAGUCAAAGGCUCAACCUUUGAAAGCCGAUGGAUACUGUGAGACUAGAGUACGGAAGAGGCGAGUGGAAUUCCUGGUGUAGCGGUGGAAUGCGCAGAUAUCAGGAGGAACACCGAUUGCGAAGGCAGCUCGCUGGGACGUCACUGACGCUGAGACGCGAAAGCGUGGGGAGCAAACAGG